rnacentral:rRNA from 1 species
GACGAACGCUGGCGGCGCGCCUAACACAUGCAAGUCGAACGGAGUUUAUCCGACUGAAGUUUUCGGAUGGAAGAUGGAUAAACUUAGUGGCGGACGGGUGAGUAACACGUGAGCAACCUGCCUUUCAGAGGGGGAUAACGAUUGGAAACGAUCGCUAAUACCGCAUAACAUUAUGAGGAGACAUCUUCUUAUAAUCAAAGGAGCAAUCCGCUGAAAGAUGGGCUCGCGGCCGAUUAGCUAGAUGGCGGGGUAACGGCCCACCAUGGCGACGAUCGGUAGCCGGACUGAGAGGUUGAACGGCCACAUUGGGACUGAGACACGGCCCAG